rnacentral:rRNA from 1 species
AUUGAACGCUGGCGGCAUGCCUUACACAUGCAAGUCGAAUGGUAACGGGCCUUCGGGUGCCGACGAGUGGCGAACGGGUGAGUAAUGCAUCGGAACGUACCUUUCAGUGGGGGAUAACGUAGCGAAAGUUACGCUAAUACCGCAUAUUCUGUGAGCAGGAAAGCAGGGGAUCGCAAGACCUUGCGCUGAUUGAGCGGCCGAUGUCAGAUUAGCUAGUUGGUGAGGUAAAGGCUCACCAAGGCGACGAUCUGUAGCGGGUCUGAGAGGAUGAUCCGCCACACUGGAACUGAGACACGGUCCAGACUCCUACGGGAGGCAGCAGUGGGGAAUUUUGGACAAUGGGGGCAACCCUGAUCCAGCCAUGCCGCGUGAGUGAAGAAGGCCUUCGGGUUGUAAAGCUCUUUCGGUCGGGUAGAAAUCGCAUGGGUUAAUACCCUGUGCGGAUGACGGUACCGGCAUAAGAAGCACCGGCUAACUACGUGCCAGCCGCCGCAGUAACAC